rnacentral:rRNA from 1 species
UAAAGAUUCAUCGCUGAUAGAUAGGCAUGCGUUCCAUUAGGCAGUUGGCGGGGUAACGGCCCACCAAACCGACGAUGGAUAGGGGUUCUGAGAGGAAGGUCCCCCACAUUGGUACUGAGACACGGACCAAACUCCUACGGGAGGCAGCAGUGAGGAAUAUUGGUCAAUGGGCGUAAGCCUGAACCAGCCAAGUCGCGUGAGGGAUGAAGGUUCUAUGGAUCGUAAACCUCUUUUAUAAGGGAAUAAAGUGCGGGACGUGUCCCGUUUUGUAUGUACCUUAUGAAUAAGGAUCGGCUAACUCCGUGCCAGCAGCCGCGGUAAUACGGAGGAUCCGAGCGUUAUCCGGAUUUAUUGGGUUUAAAGGGUGCGUAGGCGGCCUUCUAAGUCAGCGGUGAAAGUCUGUGGCUCAACCAUAGAAUUGCCGUUGAAACUGGGAGGCUUGAGUAUGUUUGAGGCAGGCGGAAUGCGUGGUGUAGCGGUGAAAUGCUUAGAUAUCACGCAGAACCCCGAUUGCGAAGGCAGCCUGCCAAGCCAUGACUGACGCUGAUGCACGAAAGCGUGGGGAUCAAACAGGAUUAGAUACCCUGGUAGUCCACGCAGUAAACGAUGAUCACUAGCUGUUUGCGAUACACAGUAA